rnacentral:rRNA from 1 species
UGGGGAAUAUUGCGCAAUGGGGGAAACCCUGACGCAGCAACGCCGCGUGAAGGAUGAAGGUUUUCGGAUCGUAAACUUCUUUGAUGAGGGACGAAGAAUGACGGUACCUCAAAAACAAGCCACGGCUAACUACGUGCCAGCAGCCGCGGUAAUACGUAGGUGGCGAGCGUUGUCCGGAAUUACUGGGUGUAAAGGGCGUGUAGGCGGGGAUACAAGUCAGAUGUGAAAUACCGUGGCUUAACCACGGGGCUGCAUCUGAAACUGUAUUUCUUGAGUGUCGGAGAGGAAAGUGGAAUUCCCAGUGUAGCGGUGAAAUGCGUAGAUAUUGGGAGGAACACCAGUGGCGAAGGCGACUUUCUGGACGAUAACUGACGCUGAGGCGCGAAAGCGUGGGGAGCAAACA